UACGUAGGCAGCGAGCGUUGUUCGGAAUUACUGGGCGUAAAGAGUGUGUAGGCGGUGCUCCCAGUCUGUUGUGAAAUCUCCCGGCUUAACUGGGAGGGUGCAGCGGAAACUAGAGUGCUAGAGGGUGGGAGAGGUAAGCGGAAUUCCUGGUGUAGCGGUGAAAUGCGUAGAUAUCAGGAGGAACACCGGUGGUGUAGACGGCUCACUGGACCAUAACUGACGCUGAGACACGAAAGCGUGGGUAGCAAACAGG
rnacentral:rRNA from 1 species